rnacentral:rRNA from 1 species
UACGUAGGGUGCAAGCGUUAAUCGGAAUUACUGGGCGUAAAGCGUGCGCAGGCGGUUAUAUAAGACAGUUGUGAAAUCCCCGGGCUCAACCUGGGAACUGCAUCUGUGACUGUAUAGCUAGAGUACGGUAGAGGGGGAUGGAAUUCCGCGUGUAGCAGUAAAAUGCGUAGAUAUGCGGAGGAACACCGAUGGCGAAGGCAAUCCCCUGGACCUGUACUGACGCUCAUGCACGAAAGCGUGGGGAGCAAACAGG